ACCCAGGGAAAUGCAUCCCCGACGGAUGCUUAACACCUGCUGACAUUGUGAAACAAGGGGAAGAGGUACAAGUUGUAGGUAGUAUUUCGCGCCAUUAGGACACAGUCAUUAUUCACAGCAACAUCAUGCCGCGGUGUUUACACUGCAAGCAGCCAGAAAGUGGAAAAACACUUGUCAACCUUUGGAGGGACCAAUCAAAUGGCUUGGGGGCGCGGUUUUCCCCUGAUCAUCCUGGGAAAAGAAAACUCACUUCCUGCAUGCCGAGAAGAGAAAGGAGACUAUUACCAAUGAUCCUUUCCGGCAGAAAUAUUUAAAGCGACAAGCCAAGCUGCCAAACUCUCCAUUCAUUCAGCAACAAAGACCUCAAUAUCCUUGGCCCGCGGCUGCUAACCAGGGGAUGGAGGACACUCUCACUGGCCUGUGGAAUUCUGGAGUCCUGGAAACAUCCACCUCCUCGUGGUGUACACUACUCAGGCCAGUUUUAAAAUCAGAUGGUAACACUUAUCGUAUGGCGCAUGAUUUGAGAGCCGUUAAUGAUGUAACGACCACACCAUUGUUACCUCUACCAGACCCCCACAGAAUGUUGUUUACCAACACACCUGAUUUGAAAUACUUCACAGCAAAUGAUUUGGCAAAUGCAUUCUUCUGUGUCCCACUCGCACCCGAGUGUAGACACUUGUUUCCAUUCAGAUAUCAGGGACACAAUUUGCAAUACACCAGGUUGCCACAAGGCUUCAAAAAUUCACCUGGAAUCUUUAAUCGAUGUUUGAAAUCAUUGCUGUAGGAUCUAAAACUCCCAGACGGAUGUAAACUUCUGAUCUACGUUGAUGACUUCCUGUUGGAAGCCCCAACAGCAGAGUCAUGUUUGUCUCUAAACUUCUGAUCUCUCUGUCCAACCUCUCACUAACGGCAGGGUCCUCUUCGCUGAUGGUUGCUGUUACCGUAAGACGAAUGGCUCUUUGGCUGCGGCAGCUGCCGUCGUGGAGCAGCAGCCCUCAGAUGGCCUGAGGCCUACCCAUGCGCUCACGAAGACACCAUGUCAGUAAUGAAAGCUUUGGUGAACCACUGGAUUCCAACGUACGGUUUUCCCGCUCUCAUCCACUCGGACAACGGUACACAUUUCACAUCCACACACCUAGCUACUGUAGAGAAGUGGUUCGGGUUAACUCACAAGUUUGGUUGUGUUUAUCACCCCACCGAGGUUCAGUUGAACGUAUGAAUCGCACGGUGAAGGAAAAACCUGGCUAAAAUAUGUACUUCUUGUGGCAUGAAUUGGGUUCAGGCUCUUCUCCUUGCUCUAAUGUCUGUGAGACAAACUGUGUCUCGCCCUACUGGUUUCUCUCCUUAUGAACUUCUUACAGGUCGUCUGAUGCCUGGCCCUUCCUCCUCACUCCAACCGCUGGAGGAAGGCGCUGUGUCUCCUUAGUUUUUUCAUAAACUGUUUCGGACACAACUGCAUUCUUUUGCUUCUAAUGUCUCCUUAAAGAUCCAAGACUCUCUUCCAUCCCCACCUCCUGCACUUGAUCUUCCUGAGUAGCCAUCUGUCUACCUUAAACGGCUCGUAAGUGGUCAGAAUCCCGUUGGUCUGGCCCCUACAAGGUGAUUGCUCGUACCUCCAAAGCAGUCUACUUGGAAGAAAGAGGAACUUAGUGGUUUCAUUAUUCUAUGAUUUGCUCUGCUACAGACUCUUACUUGCACUUUAUUUUAUUGUUUGUUGUUGUUUUAUUAAGGGAAUAUCUGGGAUUCUUAUUAUUAGUGUUAUUGUUGUUGGUUAUUUUGAUCUGGGAAAUCGUUCAAAAAUACCCCAUACCUACACCCACAUCAGUGCCAGAUGUUAGCACAACCCACCCGGAAAAGGGGGCAGCCACUUUUACCAUGGACCCAUACAUAUGAAUACCUUGUGUUACCAGGCAGCUUUUGUCUUCUUCUUUGGGCUAUCCUACCAGAAGACACACGAGACGAUACCUAGAUAAGAUCCGGAUGUCUUUAUUGCACAUUCCUUUGUAAUAAAUCCAUUUGCUGUUAACUUUGUCUAACCAUUGGUCAUCCCUUCCUCGAUCAGCGAAUACGUGUAGGGUACAAACUCGCAAAUCCCUUCAAUGUGCAACAACAAAGCUCAAUGCAGCAACAAGGCAAUUGGGAAAAACGAAGAUGGAGUUUGUUAGCACAGAACAAAAACCUAUUUUACAAAAAACAUUAUAUCAAUGGGAGGCCAUUUUGAGCCAUGCUUUUUGCAUGCCUCAACAGGAGGGAAAUGAAGAGUAAAUACAUGAUACAAUUUAUGGAAAAAAAAUUUGUAAAGCAUGUUUGAUCUGUGCUAAACAUAACCCACAAGAUUCCGACCAAAAAGGGGGAGGUUUCCGACACCUACUUAUCCCUUUCAAAGAAUAUUGUCAUGGUCCUGCCGAUCAGACCUUGCUGUGCGGGUUCCCGCACGGCUGCGCUGAUUGGGAGGCACACACCUGCGCCUCAUACUGGCUGAUUGGCCCCGGUGUAUAUCGGACCCUGGGGACGACUGGUCCGGCGCCAGAUCGUUGUGGCUCAUGCCGCGUUCCUGAACUCCCGUAUCUCUGAUCGUGAACCUGUGUGUACCGACCUCCGCCUGUUCUCCGACCGACCCCGUGAGCCUGAAUCCUUUGUCACUCCUGCCUUCUUUGAUCGAUCUCCCGUGUACCGACUCCUGCCUGCCCAUGGACCUGAUCUCUACGCCCGACGUCUUGACUACCGCUGCUGCACCUGACGGUCUGCCUGAUCCCCGACCUUGGAACAAUAAAAGUUUUUCCCGAAUUACCUCUGCGUCUCCCGAGUCCUGCAUUUGGGUCCUGUGACGUGAUGAGCAUCUUCCAGGCUCUCAGCAGGAGGCUAAAUUAGUCAAGCUGGGAGGCUGGGUGCUUGUGAGAAGUGUGAGGAAGGAUCAUUGGCCCUCUUUUAAGUUACCGACCAUGCCAACAUCUUAAAAAACAAUAGAUUAAUAAAUAAAAAUAGAAAACACAUUGUAAUGACACAUUGUAAAAAGGUCAUUUCAUUCUAGGAUCCAUUUGGUCAAAAGUCAGAGAAGGCAUUAAUAGACACCUAACUGUUUAGGGACACCUAGAUGAAAUGCCUACCUUAAAAGUGGUUAAGUCCCAAAUUAGGAGGCUGUGGCGUGGUCACAAUCAUGAUAACGUUCUUAUUGCUUAUGACACAUUUGUGGAGCAUCGGAAUGUUGUCCUAUGAUGAAAAAGCUUUGACACUCCCAAUCAUUUUGAGCACCACCAAAGUACCUUUGAAACCACCUUCUCAUGAAGAAUCAAGUGUACGUCAUGUUUCUUCUUUGCGAAGACAAGAAUAAUCUCAAGGCCACAGAGAUAACUACUAGUACCUCUUCUUUUAAAUCAAAAUUCACCAAAGUAAAAGUGAUCCAAAAAGUAGAGGCUGGUGACUGGUUUCAAAUUGCGACAGGCAUUUUUUGAAAAAAUAAUAAUUGGUUUCCAAUGGUGGCACAGUGGAGCAGUUGUGGAGUGUUGGCCUCAGUCCUGAGGAUUGGGGUUCAAAUCCCGGCCCCGCCUGUUUGGAGUUGCAUGUUGACCCACUGCCUGUGUGAGUUUUCUCUGGGCACUCCGGUAUCCUCCCACAUCCCAAAAACAUGCAACAUUAAUUGGACACUAAAUUAACCCAAAGUGUGAUUGUGAGUGCGGCUGUUGUCAAUCCAUGUUCCCUGCGGUUGACUGGUAGCUGGU